GGGGUCUAUCAUUCGAAAGAUUUGCAGCAUAUGGUACCGACGAAAUAGUUUCGCCCGGCUUUUGUUUUGAUUUAUCAGGGUCGCGGUUCUUCCCCACUUCUCUUAUUCUUCGGUUGACUUCCCAAAUCAGUAUGCUUUCGGCAGGCCUCCACCAACGUGUUCGGGUUUGUUAUGUCACCCUCGUGUAAACAUACCAUAGACCACCUGUCAUCAGGCAAUGAUCGAUUAUGAUAUCGAUUAGUCGAUUCCUUGCAAGCUUUUUAUCGGACUAAGGUGCCCUUACUUCUUUCUCUUUUUGCAUUGAUUGCAAUUUUGGCGUCAUUUCAAAAGUGCAAAGUGAAAAAGUAAGACGUACAGGCCAAUAAAUUUGCAGUUGUGUAAAGUAACUAAAUUAAUAGUAGUGAAGUGAAAAGGUACAGCCUCAAUUGGAAUUUUAAUUAAUACACCAGUUGGAGUAUUAUUUUAUUUGGCUGGUUAUUGAGCUCUUUCUGGAAAUUUGCAAUAGCGGUAUUUUUAACGGUACCCAACCGCGUGAGCACCUCAGUGUGUAGUUUUUGGCAACCACGUGCCCUCAUUCAUAGCGGAAUUUCAUUCAAAUUUCUGAGUAGUGAAUCAAACCCAAUUCAAAUCACAACUUGUUGAUGCCGGCUAUCAAUUGUGGAUGUCAUUUAGCCACACGGAAGCAGCAGUAAAUUUGUGUAUUGUGCAUUAAGGAAUAUCAAAAUUGAACACCUUUGUGGACCAUUUAGCAAAUCAACCACCACCAACUCCAUCGUCGUCCACAGCGCAAGUACAUCCUGCUGGACAUAGCAAGCAGAUGCAUCAAGCUCCCGGUAAUGUUUUGAGUUACGUACAACUGUAAGUAAAGAGACAGUCUGCGUCCAUCUUUUGUGUCAUCUGUUACCCUAUCCAACCAGUCCCAGACGGGGAGGUUAGGGACCACAUAUUUUUACAACUUUUCCUCGACGGUCAGCCGAGUACAGUUAGACAUUUCUGGUCUAUACCAAAAUACUCCAUACGCCACCAAUAUGUAUUUUCAAUUUUUACACUCGAAAUAAUCCAGUUCGUCCAAAUUCCAUUACAUCAUCAUGUGUCAAUUUAAAAGUCAACAAAUUCAAUCAAAAUUAAUUUGGCUCCAUCAACCUAUAUGUAUAUAUGUAUGUACUUGAGUAUGUAUGUAUACAUACAUAUACAAAUUUAAAAAAAAAAAUACUCAAUUCAAUAUUUUCUUCUAUUCCUUUUUAUAAAUUUAAUUUAAGCCUAUUUUAUAUAUUAUUUAUAUAUACGUUUUUUUUCUUUUUGAAUAUUUUCUGUUAAAUGUUGAUCCCCAUUCGCGACCAAAUUUAGUGUGAAUAUUUCAGGAUAGACCCAUUGAGCUCGAUAGGUUAUAGAUACGUCCUUUAUAAAAUAAUUUAGUGCACAGUGGCACUACAAUUGGGAUGAACAUACAAAUUUAAUUCAAAUUU